rnacentral:lncRNA from 1 species
AUUUUAGAGACAAUUUAGUUGCAUAUAAGAGCCGUUUGGUUGAAUAUAAUUAAAAAUACAGAGUAAUUAAAGAUAGAUGUAAUUGAAAAUAUAGCAGUUACAAUUAUAUGUAUAUUAUUUUGUUAGAUGUAGUAGAAAAUACUGCAAGUAAGUUUAGAAAGAACUUUUGCAUAUGUAAGAAUAUAUUUGAAAAUUUAUAGAGAAAUUCUAUUUAUACACCCCAAAGCGGUAUAGAUCUUACAUUCUAUAUUCUAAAAUGUACAAAGAUACAAAUAAAUUUUGGUAAAUAAAAAAUUGAUGCGAUAAAUUAAAAAUUAAUGAUCCUUUAAUAGAGUGGGUGUAAAAUAUAUAUCCAACUUUGGAAUGUAUCAGUAGUAUUGUUUAAUUUUAUAUAGGGUUAAUUGCAUACAAUUUCCUGUAAAUAUUUCGAAUACCAGAUAUAUGUCUACAAAGUUUAAUUUUUUAUAUUUAUUUCUGCGAAAGUUCUUAUAUUUUCAAAUAUACCCAUGCUGUUAGUAUUCGUUAGAAAAAUAUAAUUAACUAUAGAUAAAAUAGUUAAUCCUGAUUAAUGAAUAAGGUAAAUUGAUAUGUUUAACCCACUUAUAUUAUCUACAAUAGUAGAAAUAAAGAAUUUUUUAGAGGAUAUUUCUAUAUAAAUCUAACCAUUGGAACUUUUUGAGGAAUAUAUAUUUGUGAUAACAAAAAUAUUAUUUGACUUAUUUUUUAUUAAAAAAAUAAAUAGUAAUUUAACGGUAGCAAACAGAGAAACAAAAUAUGAAUAUCACUUAAUUAUUGUAGGAAUAAACAUGAAAAAUUAAACUUUGUAGAAAUAUAUUUGCUAUUCGGUAUAUUUAUAGGGAGCUGUAUGAAAUUAACCCAUUUAGAUAAUAGCGAGGAAUAAAAAGCGAAAGGAUUUUUUUUUUUUUUUUUUUAAUGACGCUUUCUGAGACGUUGGUGUGAAAGAACUGUUCUUCUUCUUGAGCCCAAAAAAAUAAAUAAAAAAAAUAAGGAUUAAAUGCAUACAUGUACCUACAAAUAUAAUAAAUUAUAAAUAGAUUCUACAAAGUUUAUUUUUUAUAUGUUGUUUCUGUAAAAGUUUUAAUAUUUUCAAAUGUAUUCCUCUGGUUUGUGGCCGUUAUAGAACUGUUUAUAUUUUAAGUGAAAUAUCAUUUUUUCUAUCACAAAUAUACCCCUCCAAAAACCAUGACGGAAUAAUAUAAAAGAAACAAAAAUAUCGAGUUAUCUCAUAAAUUAACAAGGGUUAAGUAUUUAAACUAUAGUUAACUAAAGUUUUCUAAUAGAUUCUAAUGGCAGGAAUAUUUUUUAAAAUAUUAGGACUUUUGUAGGGACAAUAUAUAAAAGUUAAAUUUUGUAGAAAUAUAUUUGUAAUUUACUAUGUUUAUAGUAACCUGUAUGAAAUUAAUCCAAAAAACAAAAGCAAAAAAACAAAACGUAGAAAAAAGAAAUGAAAGCAAAACUUUCCGUUUUAGCGGAAGUCUACAACGUCACAUUUGCACCACAUUAUCAGUCACCGAUUAAUCAUAUUUUUUUUUUGAAAGAAAAAAAUAUAAUAAAAAUAUAUUUUUAAUUAAUUAUAAUGGGACAGAUGAAUCCAAAAGAGACAAUUGGACUUAAUGGGAUGUCACAUUAGCAAUAUAACUUAAGCAGUGCUAUACUUUUUCCUGAUUUAAUCGCUUCUCGGGAUCGAUGACAAAAAAAAAAAAAUCAUGUUCUAUUUUUUUUUUCAUGAAACACCUGACCUUUUUUUAUUACUCAUAUUUAGUGCUUACUAAUAUUAGCUAAAACAUCAAUUUUUUAUAGCUUUUUUUUGGAUUAAUUUCAUACAGUUCCAUGCAAAGAUACAUAUAUAUUUCUACAAAACUUAAGUUAUUAAAUUUAUUCCAUUAAAAUUCUCUUGUUUGCAAAUAUAUCUCUCCAAACGUUUUGAUUCGUUCAUUUAUGUCCUUGCUAUUAGAUUCAUCAUUAAUUUUUUUACAGUAAGUGUAUAAAAUGACUAUUUUGUCUUUAUAAAUUUCUUUCUGCAAAAAGCUAUUUUUUUUCUCUUUCUCUCUCCUCGCCUUCACUGCAAUACGUGCGGCGUACCUCAUUUUUGUCGUAACCGAGGACCUCGUCUUUGAGGCCACCGCCGUCGUAGGUCUCACUAUCACUAUAAAUAAAGAGGAGAAUGUGAGAAAGAUGACGAGACUCAAUAUUAGAACACAAAUU